rnacentral:rRNA from 1 species
UGCCCAGACUCCUACGGGAGGCAGCAGUGGGGGAUAUUGCACAAUGGGGGAAACCCUGAUGCAGCGACGCCGCGUGAGUGAAGAAGUAUUUCGGUACGUAAAGCUCUAUCAGCAGGGAAGAAAAAUGACGGUACCUGACUAAGAAGCCACGGCUAACUACGUGCCAGCAGCCGCGGUAAUACGUAGGUGGCAAGCGUUGUCCGGAUUUACUGGGUGUAAAGGGCGUGCAGCCGGAGAGACAAGUCAGAUGUGAAAUCCACAGGCUCAACCUGUGAACUGCAUUUGAAACUGUUUCCCUUGAGUAUCGGAGAGGUCAUCGGAAUUCCUAGUGUAGCGGUGAAAUGCGUAGAUAUUAGGAAGAACACCAGUGGCGAAGGCGGAUGACUGGACGACAACUGACGGUGAGGCGCGAAAGCGUGGGGAGCAAACAGGAUUAGAUACCCCAGUA